UGGAGCUGAAAAUGAAAAACUGAGUAGCUGGUGGAAGAAGCGAGAUGGGUUUGGAACUCACAGGCUAUGUUUCUGGAUGCAUCACAUUUGCAAGAGGGAAGUUUUGGUGUCCCUGUGGGUAUAUUAGCACUCCUUUACUCCAUUUCUCUGUAGCUACUCAAGCAAGUGACAAGAGGCUGCAGAGUCCAAGAAAGGUGACAGAUAUGAAGAAAUGCAGUGGUUGCAAAGGACAAAGACAAUGGCAACACAAAUAAAAGAAAUUAUGAGAAGGAAAUAAAUGUGAGUAAGUUCAAAUUUUAGAAUGCUUUUAU
rnacentral:lncRNA from 1 species